rnacentral:rRNA from 1 species
UACGGAGGGUGCGAGCGUUGUCCGGAAUCACUGGGCGUAAAGGGCGCGUAGGUGGCGACCCAAGUCCGUGGUGAAAGCUCGUCGCUUAACGACGAGUCGGCCACGGAGACUGGGUGGCUCGAGCACUGUAGGGGCAGAUGGAAUUCCGGGUGUAGCGGUGGAAUGCGUAGAGAUCCGGAAGAACACCAGUGGCGAAGGCGGUCUGCUGGGCAGUUGCUGACACUGAGGCGCGACAGCGUGGGGAGCAAACAGG